rnacentral:rRNA from 1 species
UUAGCAUAUCCAUAAGCGGAGGAAAAGAAACCCACCGGGAUUGCCUCAGUAACGGCGAGUGAAGCGGCAACGCUCAAAUUUGAAAUCUGGCCCCUUCGGGGUCCGAGUUGUAAUUUGUAGAGAGUGUUUCGGGUGAGACCGCGGUCUAAGUCCAUUGGAACAUGGCGUCAUAGAGGGUGAGAAUCCCGUAUGUGACCGUGGAUCGAGCCCAUGUGAAGCCUCUUCGACGAGUCGAGUUGUUUGGGAAUGCAGCUCAAAAUGGGUGGUAAAUUUCAUCUAAAGCUAAAUACUGGCUGGAGACCGAUAGCGCACAAGUAGAGUGAUCGAAAGAUGAAAAGCACUUUGGAAAGAGAGUCAAACAGUACGUGAAAUUGUUGAAAGGGAAGCGCUUGCAACCAGACCUGUCCGUAGGUGAUCAGCCGCUGUUCUCAGUGGUGCACUCGCUCUGCGAUCAGGCCAGCAUCGGUUCGGGCGGUCGGAUAAAGGCCUUGGGAAUGUAGCUUCCUUCGGGGAGUCUUAUAGCCCUCGGUGCAAUGCGGCCAGCCGGGACCGAGGACCGCGCUUCGGCUAGGAUGCUGGCGUAAUGGUUGUAAGCGACCCGUCUUGAAACACGGACCAAGGAGUCUAACAUCUAUGCGAGUGUUUGGGUGUUAAACCCAUGCGCGGAAUGAAAGUGAACGGAGGUGAGAACCCUUAAGGGCGCAUCAUCGACCGAUCCAGAUGUCUUCGGAUGGAUUUGAGUAUGAGCAUAGCUGUUGGGACCCGAA